GUGCCAGCAGCCGCGGUAAUACGUAGGUCCCGAGCGUUGUCCGGAUUUAUUGGGCGUAAAGCGAGCGCAGGCGGUUAGAUAAGUCUGAAGUUAAAGGCUGUGGCUUAACCAUAGUACGCUUUGGAAACUGUUUAACUUGAGUGCAAGAGGGGAGAGUGGAAUUCCAUGUGUAGCGGUGAAAUGCGUAGAUAUAUGGAGGAACACCGGUGGCGAAAGCGGCUCUCUGGCGUUGUAACUGACGCUGAGGCUCGAAAGCGUGGGGAGCAAACAGGAUUAGAU
rnacentral:rRNA from 1 species